UCCAUUAAUUUUUGUCUCCUUCCCUAAUUUUGCUCUGCCAAAUUGCCACCUCUUCUCUUCUCUCCUCUCAGAGGAGAGAGAAGAAGAAGAAGCAAAAAAAAAAGCACCAAAAAAGGGAAAGAAGCAUAUUUAUUUAUUUUCUUUCUUUUUUUUCCGUCUCUUGUAGAUAAAAAGAAAAAUUAAAAAAAAUACCCAAUAAUCGAACUCUCUUUCACUCUCUCUCCUCUUAGGGUUUCCAUUUCCGCCAUUGCAGCUCUUUCUUUACCGUCACUGACCUUUAGUUUCACUCACAUUGCAUCGGGAUCGGCGCAUUGUUUCGAGAACAGAUUCGAGUUCUUAAAUUUCUCCGUCUUUUUUUAGGGCUUUUUCGGGAUUCUUUUUUGUACAGAUCGAGUGUAUAGAUUCGGGGCUAACCUUCUCUCAAUGGUAUGCUCACUUGGAAGUGGUAGAAUGGCCGUUAUGGCUAGACUUCUUGAAGCAGGAAGCAUCUCGUCGGCAGAGGAAGUUAGCAAUAAAAAAUUAGCUGCUCAAUACAUUUACAGAGAAUUACGUGGAGCAGAUGAGGCCAAUUUAAUUGAUGAAGAAGAUAUGCAUGUAUUUGGUUUGAAGCCUAUGGCUGAUCCUUUGCAUUUGGUAUGUUGUAAUGCUUGUAAGAAGCCGAUCAAGGCAAGUCAAUAUGCUGCUCAUGAAGAACUCUGUAGGUUAUUAAAAACCACCGAAGAAACUAUUUUGGAGCUUGAUGGUAGUACUGGGCAUAGAAAACCUCCAAGGAAGGAAAGGAAGAAGUCACUAGCUGCUUAUGCUAACCAACCUAUACCAGUUGGGGAGCAGGAAAGAUCUGAAAUUAUUGAUGCUGAUGAUACUACAGCAUCAGAAUCCCACAUAAAUGGACAAAUUGGGAUGCCUUCUUCCUUAACCAUGGAUGCAAAAAGAAAUUCUGCUUGUGUAGAUACAGCAUAUGUGAUGGAUGGCUCAGGAGUUAGUUCUGAUAAUACUGACCACUCGACCUCUGUAGUGGCACCCUCAACAAAACGCGUUAAACUGGUAGCUGGUGACCGCCUUCUCCUGCCAGAUGGUCCAAAAACAGCUUCUGGUGUGACAAAAACUCAAAAUACUCAUGACCUACAUGCCUCUAGAGAUUCUCAAAGAGGAAGAGUUUCAGGAUGUGAAACACCUAAUGGUAGGCAAGCCCAUAAAAACUGUCUGCUGACAAAAGAUAUUCCAGUUCCUCUUAGUACCAAAAUCUAUUACUCUCAAAGAAACAGUCGUCUUCGCUUAGCGCUUAGUCAUCAGUACUUUGUCACAUCAACCAAAGAACUUUGCAGUGACAUGGUUAGUCCACAAGCAUCACAACAAAGCAUGAUGCUGUUGCAGGCUUCAUCUCAGGGCGUCUGUCCUCUUGAUCAGGUGGAUAAUCUGCUUAUCAUGAAGAAAAAUGUUUACCAAGCAAACAACAGAUUGAUGCUCGUUGCUUGAAUCUAUUAGAGUCAAACACAAAGAAAACCAGCACUGCUUUUGAAGAUUGAUGAAGUGCCUUGUGACAUCUCCUUUGUGAUUCAUAUGUUUCAUGCAUCUAGAGGAACUAAGGCCGCAAGGAUUUAGAAGCUUCAAGAGUCUUCUCUGCAGAAACCUGAUCAAAUUCUUGCUCAAAGUUCAGAAGUAUGCUUGAGUAAAUCAGUAGGGUGCCUACCAUCCAAUGACUUUUCAAAUCAGCAUCCAAUUGAUAAUAUUCCAAGGCCUCAGGCGGCAGCUGUUGGAUUGGCAAGAAGCAAAUAUAUUUCGAAGCCUUAUUCUUUUGCAGGCAACUCAGGCAAACUGCUGGGGCCCAUGCAGCCUCCAAAUGGGAGUGUUCCUGUUGUAUAGGAAGUCCUGGUUGGAAUUUUGCUAGGCAAAGGUGUAUUUAGCGAUACAUGAGAAAUGAGAGUUAGGAUCCAUUUUUGAAAUCCUAGAAAGCAUAUAUCACUUCAAUUUGUUCAUUCUAGCCUUCUGGAUUACACUUUUGACAGCCAGCCAGCUAGCCCUUUGUUUAUAGUUUUGAAGGAAAUAAAGUAAAUAGUAAAUUAUCCUUAUUGUAUA